ensembl:lncRNA
UUCCUGUGCCUAAGAACAAUAAACCCUCUUGUCUGAAAAACUAUCGUACAGUUGCCCUCACAUCAAUAGUCAUGAAGGUCUUCGAGGGACUGGUUAAAAACUACAUCUGCUCCUCCAUCCCGGAUACUUUGGACCCUCUUCAGUUUGCCUAUCGCCCCAACAGAUCCACUGAUGAUGCCAUCUCUCACAUCCUGCACUCUUCUCUCACACACAUUGACAGCAAUAACAGGAACUAUGUAAGGCUGCUAUUUAUCGACUAUAGCUCAGCUUUCAAUACUAUAGUCCCCAUAAAGCUAGCUUCUAAACUCAUGGACCUCGGCCUGAAUUUUUCAAUCUGCAACUGGAUUCUUGAUUUCCUCACCGGCAGACCUCAAGUGGUGAAAGUAGGCCAGUACACCUCCAACUCCAUCACCCUGAACAUAGGAGCACCACAGGGCUGUGUCCUGAGUCCCCUGCUCUACUCUCUCUACACACAUGACUGCGUGUCUUCCCACGGCUCCACAGCUAUAAUCAAAUUUGCUGAUGAUACUGUGGUUCUGGGCCUCAUUUCCAACAAUAAUGAGGCCGCAUACUUGGAUGAGGUAGAGAAACUUACAUCAUGGUGCCAGGACAAUUGUCUCUCUCUGAAUGUGAGCAAAACUAAAGAGCUGAUUGUUGACUUCAGGAAGAGACAGCAGCAGCCCUAUACUUCUCUUAUGAUCAGCGGGACCCCUGUGGAGAGGGUGAGCAGCUUCAAGUACCUUGGUGUAAACAUCUCCGAGGACCUGACUUGGACUACCCACAUUCAAACACAGGUUAAUAAAGCCAGGCAAAGACUGUACCAUCUGCGACAGCUGAGAAAAUUCAGGGUUUCACCUGCAAUCCUGAAAACUUUGAAAGAUGAAAGUUUGGAACUUAUGAAGUUCUGUGCGUUUCUUAGAACGAAUUCAAGCAGGAUAAAUGUCAAGCCUGUGCCUGAGCCUGUGCUUAUAUUUUUUCUAAGCUACAUGGUAUUAAACCAUAUUUUAGAUUUGACACAUUUAAUAGGUUUGCAGUAUUAUUUCUAUAAUAUGUAUUGUGUUAUAUUAUUCAAAAGAAAUUGUGGUU